UACGUAGGGUCCGAGCGUUGUCCGGAAUUAUUGGGCGUAAAGGGCUCGUAGGCGGUCUGUCGCGUCUGCUGUGAAAAUCCGGGGCUCAACCCCGGACUUGCAGUGGGUACGGGCAGACUAGAGUGUGGUAGGGGAGACUGGAAUUCCUGGUGUAGCGGUGAAAUGCGCAGAUAUCAGGAGGAACACCGAUGGCGAAGGCAGGUCUCUGGGCCACUACUGACGCUGAGAAGCGAAAGCAUGGGGAGCGAGCAGG
rnacentral:rRNA from 1 species